rnacentral:rRNA from 1 species
ACUCAAAUGAAUUGACGGGGGCCCGCACAAGCGGUGGAGCAUGUGGUUCAAUUCGAUGCAGAGCGAAGAACCUUACCUGGGCUUGACAUGCAGGAAGUAGGAGGUGGAAACACCAACGACCCGUUAAAUCGGGAGCCUGCACAGGUGGUGCAUGGCUGUCGUCAGCUCGUGCCGUGAGGUGUUGGGUUAAGUCCCGCAACGAGCGCAACCCUCACCCGAUGUUGCCAACGGUAUGGCCGGGGACUCUUCGGGAACUGCCGGCGAAGAGCUGGAGGAAGGGGGGGAUGACGUCAAGUCCGUAUGCCCCUUAUGUCCAGGGCUACACACAUGCUACAAUGGGCGGUACAGAGGGGAGCCAACCCGCAAGGGGGAGCCAAUCCCAGAAAGCCGCUCUCAGUUCGGAUUGGAGGCUGCAACUCGCCUCCAUGAAGUCGGAAUCGCUAGUAAGCGCAGAUCAGCAGGCUGCGCUGAAUACGUUCCCGGGCCUUGUACACACCGCCCGU